UACGAAGGGGCUAGCGUUGCUCGGAAUUACUGGGCGUAAAGCGCACGUAGGCGGAUCUUUAAGUCAGGGGUGAAAUCCUGGAGCUCAACUCCAGAACUGCCUUUGAUACUGAGGGUCUUGAGUUCGGGAGAGGUGAGUGGAACUGCGAGUGUAGAGGUGAAAUUCGUAGAUAUUCGCAAGAACACCAGUGGCGAAGGCGGCUCACUGGCCCGGUACUGAUGCUGAGGCGCGAAAGCUGGGGGAGCGAACGGG
rnacentral:rRNA from 1 species